rnacentral:rRNA from 1 species
UACGGGGGGUGCAAACGUUGCUCGGAAUUAUUGGGCGUAAAGCGCACGUAGGCGGUCUACUAAGUCGGGUGUGAAAGCCCUGGGCUCAACCCAGGAAGUGCAUUCGAAACUGAUAGGCUUGAGUACGGAAGAGGGUCUCGGAAUUCCCGGUGUAGAGGUGAAAUUCGUAGAUAUCGGGAGGAACACCAGUGGCGAAGGCGGAGACCUGGGCCGAUACUGACGCUGAGGUGCGAAAGCGUGGGGAGCAAACAGG